GGAAAGAAGAAGGGGUGGAGCUUGAGCACUCUGUUGAAAAGCGCCCUUUUUUCAUUUGUGUCUCCUUUCUCUGCCACAUUAACAUCAAUAGGAACCAUAGCGAGGUGUUUUAGCUUAUUUUAUAACGUAUUAAGUGGCCGAGUGAUUCUUAUCUUGUCGUUCACGCCACUAAUCAGUCGCCUGCGACGUUUCGUGAGUCGAGUAACAAACACGCUAUAUCGCCAUUUUGUGUAUUCAACAACACAAAGAAGCAUGGCCGAAGCAGACCGACCAGGCAAACUGUUUAUCGGCGGGCUGAAUACCGAGACCACCGAGAAGGCCUUGGAACAGUACUUCAGCAAAUAUGGCAGGAUUGUUCAAGUUCUUCUGAUGAAAGACCGUGAAACAAACAAGUCAAGGGGGUUUGCAUUUGUGACGUUCGAUAAUCCAGCAGAUGCAAAGGAUGCAGCACGUGAGAUGAACGGAAAGUCUCUUGAUGGCAAGUCUAUCAAAGUGGAGCAGGCUACCAAGCCUCAGUUUGAGUCUGGAGGCAGGCGAGGACCCCCAUCCAUGCACUCUCGCAGUCGUGGCCCACCCAGGGGCCUCCGGGGAUCCAGGGGAGGUGGAAUGAGAGGCCCACCAUCCAGAGACUACUAUGAUGACGACAAUGGAGAACCCUUCUUUAAGGGGAUGUCGUCAAGAGGUCCCCCUCCGAUGAAGAGAGGACCACCUAUGCGCAAUGGAGGCCCUCCACCGAAACGAUCUGCUCAAUCUGGUCCCAUGAACAGACCCCCAAUGUCAAGGGACAGGGACCCAUAUGGUCCACCCCCUCGCAGAGACUCCAUGAUGUCCAGAAGGGAUGACUAUCCAUCACCUAGAGAUGACCAUUACAACUCAAAAGAUGGAUACUCCAGUCGGGAUUAUAACUCGAGAGAUUCAAGGGACUAUGGACCACCUCCAAGAGAUUAUUCAUACCGGGAUUACUCCAGUUCCCGGGAUGACUAUGGCUCAAUGUCCAGGGGUUACAGUGACCGUGAUGGCUAUGGUGGAGGACGGGAUUCCAGAAGCUACAUGGACCGUCCGAGCGGCGGCAGUGGUGGUGGCGGAGGCUCGUACAGAGAUUCGUUUGAUGGUUACGGAUGAACACACUUGAAGGAAAACAUUCCUUGUUAGGCACCAACUGACCUUGGAUUCUCAGACCAGUGGACCAAAUAUGAACACAUUCCAGUCCGUGCAGGCUGCCCCAGGGCUGAGACAACUGGUUGAAAAACUUCUGGAAAAUGAAGAGGCUGAGGAUUGGCUCCAAAUCUUGUUUAGAAUAAAUGACAAAAACCUGAGCUGCUAAGUAUUUGUUUCAAAGACUGAAAGAAUUAAACUUCAAAGAAAAUAACUUCAAAAUUGAACUGAUUUUCGAUUACAUUGACAAUACAGUCUUCCUAAACAAAUGGCUUUCUCUUCGCUCAUUCAGCAUGUCCCAACAGAAGAUGGGUAAAAGCUUUGGAAUGCUCAAAGGCUGAGCUUUUUUUUAUUUCUUUUUAAUUAUUUUUUAAAAGAAUUAAGUGAUUUUCUAUACACAACCAAAUAAGUCAUACAUUCUGAUCUUUUUGUUACAUAACAUGCUAAAUAUUCGUUAACAUUAGGCCUGUAAUGAUACAGUAUCCAAGCAGAAAAUUGCGAUAUUCAAGGUCUGAACACACAAACCGCCACGUGCUCCUUGCAAAUCCCAGUUUUUGCCACCCAUCCAGAUGCAGUGAAUGAGCUCAGUGCUACCAUACAUAAUAGGAAGAAUUUAAAAAAUAAAGCUAUAUUGAAGAUGCAUUUCCUCA